rnacentral:lncRNA from 10 species
CAAGUUGGCAAUGGUGGUUCUCCCAAAGCUGUAGGCAUUGUUCUCUGUGGGGUGGGAAGAGGGAGAGGAUGAUGGUGGGGUCAGGGCACAUCCCCUCCAGCCCCAUCCUCUCUCCACCCUAGCCGUCCUGGCCCUCACUGACCCAGCAGGUCCCCUGAGAAGUUGACAGGCAGCACGAUGCCUACGGAGAGGACGCCCACAACCACCAGCAGCCCGAUGAUGUGCCGCUGAAAGGACAGAGCUUGAAGAUGGUCCACUUACUUUAUCCUGAAGAUGGCUGUCAGCCAGGAACAGAAACCCUGGGGGAACAGAGGGCUGUCAGCGGGAGUCCCCAGCCCACCAACCCGAACCUCUCUCCUCCCUCAAGUCCCACCCAUUCUCAUAAUUACCUCCAGGCAUAGCUUCCACA